GGGUUGUGAGGUUAAGCGACUAAGCGUACACGGUGGAUGCCCUGGCAGUCAGAGGCGAUGAAGGACGUGCUAAUCUGCGAUAAGCGUCGGUAAGGUGAUAUGAACCGUUAUAACCGGCGAUUUCCGAAUGGGGAAACCCAGUGUGUUUCGACACACUAUCAUUAACUGAAUCCAUAGGUUAAUGAGGCGAACCGGGGGAACUGAAACAUCUAAGUACCCCGAGGAAAAGAAAUCAACCGAGAUUCCCCCAGUAGCGGCGAGCGAACGGGGAGCAGCCCAGAGCCUGAAUCAGUGUGUGUGUUAGUGGAAGCGUCUGGAAAGGCGCGCGAUACAGGGUGACAGCCCCGUACACAAAAAUGCACAUACUGUGAGCUCGAUGAGUAGGGCGGGACACGUGGUAUCCUGUCUGAAUAUGGGGGGACCAUCCUCCAAGGCUAAAUACUCCUGACUGACCGAUAGUGAACCAGUACCGUGAGGGAAAGGCGAAAAGAACCCCGGCGAGGGGAGUGAAAAAGAACCUGAAACCGUGUACGUACAAGCAGUGGGAGCCUCUUAAUGGGGUGACUGCGUACCUUUUGUAUAAUGGGUCAGCGACUUAUAUUCUGUAGCAAGGUUAACCGAAUAGGGGAGCCGAAGGGAAACCGAGUCUUAACUGGGCGUUAAGUUGCAGGGUAUAGACCCGAAACCCGGUGAUCUAGCCAUGGGCAGGUUGAAGGUUGGGUAACACUAACUGGAGGACCGAACCGACUAAUGUUGAAAAAUUAGCGGAUGACUUGUGGCUGGGGGUGAAAGGCCAAUCAAACCGGGAGAUAGCUGGUUCUCCCCGAAAGCUAUUUAGGUAGCGCCUCGUGAAUUCAUCUCCGGGGGUAGAGCACUGUUUCGGCAAGGGGGUCAUCCCGACUUACCAACCCGAUGCAAACUGCGAAUACCGGAGAAUGUUAUCACGGGAGACACACGGCGGGUGCUAACGUCCGUCGUGAAGAGGGAAACAACCCAGACCGCCAGCUAAGGUCCCAAAGUCAUGGUUAAGUGGGAAACGAUGUGGGAAGGCCCAGACAGCCAGGAUGUUGGCUUAGAAGCAGCCAUCAUUUAAAGAAAGCGUAAUAGCUCACUGGUCGAGUCGGCCUGCGCGGAAGAUGUAACGGGGCUAAACCAUGCACCGAAGCUGCGGCAGCGACACUAUGUGUUGUUGGGUAGGGGAGCGUUCUGUAAGCCUGUGAAGGUGUACUGUGAGGUAUGCUGGAGGUAUCAGAAGUGCGAAUGCUGACAUAAGUAACGAUAAAGCGGGUGAAAAGCCCGCUCGCCGGAAGACCAAGGGUUCCUGUCCAACGUUAAUCGGGGCAGGGUGAGUCGACCCCUAAGGCGAGGCCGAAAGGCGUAGUCGAUGGGAAACAGGUUAAUAUUCCUGUACUUGGUGUUACUGCGAAGGGGGGACGGAGAAGGCUAUGUUGGCCGGGCGACGGUUGUCCCGGUUUAAGCGUGUAGGCUGGUUUUCCAGGCAAAUCCGGAAAAUCAAGGCUGAGGCGUGAUGACGAGGCACUACGGUGCUGAAGCAACAAAUGCCCUGCUUCCAGGAAAAGCCUCUAAGCAUCAGGUAACAUCAAAUCGUACCCCAAACCGACACAGGUGGUCAGGUAGAGAAUACCAAGGCGCUUGAGAGAACUCGGGUGAAGGAACUAGGCAAAAUGGUGCCGUAACUUCGGGAGAAGGCACGCUGAUAUGUAGGUGAAGUCCCUUGCGGAUGGAGCUGAAAUCAGUCGAAGAUACCAGCUGGCUGCAACUGUUUAUUAAAAACACAGCACUGUGCAAACACGAAAGUGGACGUAUACGGUGUGACGCCUGCCCGGUGCCGGAAGGUUAAUUGAUGGGGUUAGCGGUAACGCGAAGCUCUUGAUCGAAGCCCCGGUAAACGGCGGCCGUAACUAUAACGGUCCUAAGGUAGCGAAAUUCCUUGUCGGGUAAGUUCCGACCUGCACGAAUGGCGUAAUGAUGGCCAGGCUGUCUCCACCCGAGACUCAGUGAAAUUGAACUCGCUGUGAAGAUGCAGUGUACCCGCGGCAAGACGGAAAGACCCCGUGAACCUUUACUAUAGCUUGACACUGAACAUUGAGCCUUGAUGUGUAGGAUAGGUGGGAGGCUUUGAAGUGUGGACGCCAGUCUGCAUGGAGCCGGCCUUGAAAUACCACCCUUUAAUGUUUGAUGUUCUAACGUUGGCCCCUGAUCGGGGUUGCGGACAGUGUCUGGUGGGUAGUUUGACUGGGGCGGUCUCCUCCUAAAGAGUAACGGAGGAGCACGAAGGUUGGCUAAUCCUGGUCGGACAUCAGGAGGUUAGUGCAAUGGCAUAAGCCAGCUUGACUGCGAGCGUGACGGCGCGAGCAGGUGCGAAAGCAGGUCAUAGUGAUCCGGUGGUUCUGAAUGGAAGGGCCAUCGCUCAACGGAUAAAAGGUACUCCGGGGAUAACAGGCUGAUACCGCCCAAGAGUUCAUAUCGACGGCGGUGUUUGGCACCUCGAUGUCGGCUCAUCACAUCCUGGGGCUGAAGUAGGUCCCAAGGGUAUGGCUGUUCGCCAUUUAAAGUGGUACGCGAGCUGGGUUUAGAACGUCGUGAGACAGUUCGGUCCCUAUCUGCCGUGGGCGCUGGAGAACUGAGGGGGGCUGCUCCUAGUACGAGAGGACCGGAGUGGACGCAUCACUGGUGUUCGGGUUGUCAUGCCAAUGGCACUGCCCGGUAGCUAAAUGCGGAAGAGAUAAGUGCUGAAAGCAUCUAAGCACGAAACUUGCCCCGAGAUGAGUUCUCCCUGACUCCUUGAGAGUCCUGAAGGAACGUUGAAGACGACGACGUUGAUAGGCCGGGUGUGUAAGCGCAGCGAUGCGUUGAGCUAACCGGUACUAAUGAACCGUGAGGCUUAACCUUACAACGCCGAAG
rnacentral:rRNA from 1 species